rnacentral:lncRNA from 1 species
AUGAUUAACUGGUGUAGGAUGAGGACCAUGAUAUCAUUGUGCAGCAUGAGUUUCAAAAUUACAUUUUGGCCAUUUUAUCAAAGGAACAAAACUUGUCUGGAGAUGAAGAGACUGAUGAUGAUUGUGGUGAUGAUGAUGAUGAUGAAGAUGAUGAUGAUGAUGAUGAUGAUGAAGAAACAGAAGAAGAAGGAGAAGAAAAAGAAGAAGCAGGAGGAGGAGGGAAAGGAACAGAGAAAGAAGAGGAAAUAGAGGAAAAAUAUGAAAAGGAGAAGCAUAGUAAAACACCUGAGGGAGAGAAAAGCAGUAAUAGCACAGAUGAAACUGUAGAGCCAGAAGAGACUACUCAGAAAGAGACCAUCAUUCAGCAGGAGAAAGAAGAUACUGACAACCACACUGUGAACAGUUCUACAGAGAACACUGAUGACCAAAUAACUGGAGGAGUUGGGAGGAAAAAGUUUUCCCUGUUUAAGCGAAAGCCACUGACAGGCCAGAAGAAUGUAUGUAGCAGAAAGGAAGAUAGAUUUGGAAAACCAUUACAGAGCGGACAAGAAAAAGAAAAGGAAGAUUUAUCUGGUGAAGACAGUAAAGAUGAAAACCAGAAUCAUACAUCGGAGAAUUCCAGGGAAACUGUGACUAACCAGGACAGAAGGAUGGAAUCUUCUACUUGUAUAUUACUCUAACACUGUUGUAGUACAUAAGAAUGUGACAUUUUUAAAGCACAUUGUGCAAUUUUUACUUGAAAACGGUUAUGACUCACUACAGAUGUUGAUGGUUGCUUUUCUGAUUGGUUUGACUGCUGUGAUUUUAAACAUGCAAACCAUUUUCUUGAUAUUUAUUUUUAAUUUUAAUAGUUGCAAUCAAUAAUGCUUAUCAGCAUCUUGGUGGAGUUCUGUG